rnacentral:rRNA from 1 species
GAUGAACGCUGGCGGCGUGCUUAACACAUGCAAGUCGAACGGUGAACACGGAGCUUGCUCUGUGGGAUCAGUGGCGAUCGGGUGAGUAACACGUGAGCAACCUGCCCCUGACUCUGGGAUAAGCGCUGGAAACGGCGUCUAAUACUGGAUAUGUGACGUGACCGCAUGGUCUGCGUUUGGAAAGAUUUUUCGGUUGGGGAUGGGCUCGCGGCCUAUCAGCUUGUUGGUGAGGUAAUGGCUCACCAAGGCGUCGACGGGUAGCCGGCCUGAGAGGGUGACCGGCCACACUGGGACUGAGACACGGCCCAGACUCCUACGGGAGGCAGCAGUGGGGAAUAUUGCACAAUGGGCGCAAGCCUGAUGCAGCAACGCCGCGUGAGGGAUGACGGCCUUCGGGUUGUAAACCUCUUUUAGCAGGGAAGAAGCGAAAGUGACGGUACCUGCAGAAAAAGCGCCGGCUAACUACGUG